rnacentral:rRNA from 1 species
UACGUAGGGUGCGAGCGUUGUCCGGAAUUACUGGGCGUAAAGAGCUCGUAGGUGGUUUGUCGCGUUGUUCGUGAAAACUCACAGCUUAACUGUGGGCGUGCGGGCGAUACGGGCAGACUGGAGUACUGCAGGGGAGACUGGAAUUCCUGGUGUAGCGGUGGAAUGCGCAGAUAUCAGGAGGAACACCAGUGGCGAAGGCGCCGCUCUGGGCCGAGACUGACGCUGAGGAGCGAAAGCGUGGGUAGCAAACAGG